GGCUUUCUAGUGCUGCUGCUUGUGUCUGCUAUUAUAAUGCUUGCAAUGACACACCAAGUUUCCUGUAGAGCUGGUGCUUUUGGGCAUACAAUUGGUGAUCGUGUCCUCUUGGAGGAACAGGCAUCGCCAGUAGAUUUGGCAUCACCGCCUCCAGGAUUGAGAAAACGGGAUCCUGGUGAGUCUUCAAGAAACAGAACCGACUAUAAUAAUAGUAGCCACUUUCUGUGACAGGUUUUUUACCUCCACCUGAUGUGCCACCACUGUCUGGCAAUCCAUAAAGUUCUUCUCCUGCGAGGUACGAACGACUAAUUACGAAACACAACAAGCAAUAAACUUGAAGAGGUUCAAGUCCAUGUUUUUUCAUUUUGCAUGAGUCAUGUUUGGAAAAGCUUCUUUAAAAAUGGACCACAAUUUCAAUCAAGGUGAACCAUGAAGUCUC
rnacentral:lncRNA from 1 species